UGGGGGAUAUUGCACAAUGGGCGAAAGCCUGAUGCAGCGACGCCGCGUGGGGGAUGAAGGCUUUCGGGUUGUAAACCUCUUUCGCUAUCGAACAAGGCCCGCUUAGGGUGGGUUGAGGGUAGGUGGAGAAGAAGCGCCGGCUAACUACGUGCCAGCAGCCGCGGUAAUACGUAGGGCGUGAGCGUUGUCCGGAAUUAUUGGGCGUAAAGGGCUUGUAGGCGGCUUGUUGCGCCUGCUGUGAAAACGCGGGGCUUAACUUCGCGCGUGCAGUGGGUACGGGCAGGCUUGAGUGUGGUAGGGGUGACUGGAAUUCCAGGUGUAGCGGUGGAAUGCGCAGAUAUCUGGAGGAACACCGAUGGCGAAGGCAGGUCACUGGGCCAUUACUGACGCUGAGGAGCGAAAGCAUGGGUAGCGAACAGG
rnacentral:rRNA from 1 species